UACGAAGGGGGCUAGCGUUGUUCGGAAUUACUGGGCGUAAAGCGCACGUAGGCGGAUUUGCCAGUCAGGGGUGAAAUCCCGGGGCUCAACCUCGGAACUGCCUCUGAUACAGCAAGUCUUGAGUCCGGAAGAGGUGGGUGGAAUUCCUAGUGUAGAGGUGAAAUUCGUAGAUAUUAGGAAGAACACCAGUGGCGAAGGCGGAUCUCUGGGCCGAUACUGACGCUGAGGAGCGAAAGCGUGGGGAGCGAACAGG
rnacentral:rRNA from 1 species